rnacentral:rRNA from 1 species
AUUGAACGCUGGCGGCAGGCCUAACACAUGCAAGUCGAACGGUAACAGGAAGCAGCUUGCUGCUUUGCUGACGAGUGGCGGACGGGUGAGUAAUGUCUGGGAACCUGCCCGAUGGAGGGGGAUAACUACUGGAAACGGUAGCUAAUACCGCAUAACGUCGCAAGACCAAAGAGGGGGACCUUAGGGCCUCUUGCCAUCGGAUGUGCCCAGAUGGGAUUAGCUAGUAGGUGGGGUAACGGCUCACCUAGGCGACGAUCCCUAGCUGGUCUGAGAGGAUGACCAGCCACACUGGAACUGAGACACGGUCCAGACUCCUACGGGAGGCAGCAGUGGGGAAUAUUGCACAAUGGGCGCAAGCCUGAUGCAGCCAUGCCGCGUGUAUGAAGAAGGCCUUCGGGUUGCAAAGUACUUUCAGCGGGGAGGAAGGGAGUAAAGUUAAUACCUUUGCUCAUUGACGUUACCCGCAGAAGAAGCACCGGCUAACUCCAUG